ACCCGCUGAAUUUAAGCAUAUAACUAAGCGGAGGAAAAGAAACUAACAAGGAUUCCCCUAGUAAGGGCGACUGAAGCGGGAUCAGCCCAGAUUGUAAACUGACCUUAAUCAAGGUUGGGUUGUAGUCUAAAGAGGCGACGCCAGGCAAGGUCCGGGGAGAAGUCCCUUGGAACAGGGCAUCGGAGAGGGUGACAAUCCCGUCUGUGCCUCGGACCGCGUCGUACGGUGCGUCUUCGACGAGUCGGUUUGCUUGGGAUUGCAGACCAAACGGGUGGUAAAUUCCAUCUAAGGCUAAAUACGGGUGGGAGACCGAUAGCGAACAAGUACCGUGAGGGAAAGAUGCAAAGAACUUUGGAAAGAGAGUUAAAAAGGGCCUGAAACUGGUAAGAGGGAACCGAACGGCAGAAGUGGUGAUGGGCGCGUAUUUUCCGCCGGGCUCUUGGCCGGCGUACUUGUGCGCGUCCGUAGGUCAGCGUGGGUUGGGGCGUGGGAGUCGUUCAUGGGAAGGUCUUCGGACCAAUCUCGUGUUCAGGCCGCGCCUGAGACCUUCGGUGACGAAAUUCUUCCGUUCACCCCGUCUUGAAACACGGACCAAGGAGUCUAAAAUACGAGCGAGUGCGCCGGUGGCAACCCGGGGCGCGUAAUGAAAGUGAGACCGACGGUGGGAGGGCUUUACGUCCGCACCAUCAACCGACCAGGAUCCUUCGGGUGAAAGGUUUGAGUGUAGCUUGUAUUUUGGGACCCGAAAGAUGGUGAACUAUGCCUGAAUAGGGCGAAGCCAGGGGAAACUCUGGUGGAGGCUCGUAGCGAUUCUGACGUGCAAAUCGAUCGUCAAAUUUGGGUAUAGGGGCGAAAGACUAAUCGAACCAUCUAGUAGCUGGUUCCCUCCGAAAUUUCCCUCAGGAUAGCAGCAAUCGAAGAGUUUUAUCAGGUAAAGCGAAUGAUUAGAGGCCUCAGGGGUGGAACGUCCUUGACCUAUUCUCAAACUUUAAAUGGGUAAGAGCCAGGGGUUGCUUAAGUGAACCCCUCGGUCGAAUCGCGGUUGCUAGUGGGCCACCCGGGGUAAGCUCGGUUGGCGAUGCGGGAUGAUCCGAACGUCGAGUUAAAGUGCCUCACUGCCCGCUCACCUAGAUCCCACAAAAGGUGUUGGUUCAUUUAGACAGCAGGACGGUGGCCAUGGAAGUCGGAACCCGCUAAGGAGUGUGUAACAACUCACCUGCCGAAUGGAUUAGCCCUGAAAAUGGAUGGCGCUGAAGCGAGCGACUUAUACUCGACCAUCACGGCAAGUGCGACGCCGUGAUGAGUAGGAGGGCGUGGGGCUCGUGGCGCAUCCCGCGGCGUGAGCCGGGGUGAAACGGGCUCUAGUGCAGAUCUUGGUGGUAGUAGC
rnacentral:rRNA from 1 species